rnacentral:rRNA from 1 species
UACGUAGGGGGCAAGCGUUGUCCGGAAUCAUUGGGCGUAAAGAGCGCGUAGGCGGCCCUGUAAGUCCGCUGUGAAAGUCAAGGGCUCAACCCUUGAAUGCCGGUGGAUACUGCAGGGCUAGAGUCCGGAAGAGGCGAGUGGAAUUCCUGGUGUAGCGGUGAAAUGCGCAGAUAUCAGGAGGAACACCGAUGGCGAAGGCAGCUCGCUGGGCCAUUACUGACGCUGAGAAGCGAAAGCAUGGGGAGCGAACAGG